ensembl:lncRNA
CUCAAGGCGCGGUGUGGCUGUCCCUGGGGACGCGGGGACAGCGCUGCGGGCUCUCUGCUGCCCAGCACAGGUGUGAGCCGUGCCCGCCCCCAGGUGCUGCUGCUGUGCUACAAGAGCUGCUGGGACGGCGCCUUCCAGGCCACCGAGGAGGUAAAGCCUCGGUGGGACAGAGCGAGGGGCUCGCCAGCCCCGGGGACACCGCCGAGCCCGGUGACACAGCCGGCUGGGGGACAGGGAGGGGCUCCCCAGCCAGGCUGGGUGCCAGGGGCCAUCUGGGCUCAGCUGCCCCUGGACCUGCGAGUCCCCACUGUCCGUGUUGGCUUCCAGCUCGGCACAGCCCUGCAGCUUAGACUGGAGGGGAGGGAGGAGGAGGAGGUGGACUCAGACUCUGCAUGGGAGCCUGGACAGACAGGGCAGCGGCGUGGCGAGGGCAGCGAGGCCGUGCUGGGGAGGCUGGAGGCUCUGGAGGCCGAUGUUCGCUUCCUCUGCACCGAGCUGGGGGCUGAGAAGCUUCUGUGGAGCAGCCGGUUCCUGGAGCUGCUGCGGGAGCAGCAGAGCCUGCGCCAAAGGCUGCAGGAGCUGCCAUGGCAGUGGAACAGUGGUGACAGCCCUGACCUGCUAGGGGAAGCAGAGGACCAAAGUGCCAGUGGGAGUGAGGGAGAGAGCCCAGAAGGAUGCCAGUGGAUGGAGGCACCUCGGCAGCCACGUGGCUCCAUCCAGCCUGACAGGCAGAAAAAGUAAGUGAAGGUGUGAGCAGGACCUCAGGAAAUCAGGAAGGAUCCACACAUUCCACCUGCCCAGGCCCUGCAGGACACAGGCCAGGCUGCUGCAGUCCCAGCUGUAUCCCUCCCUCCCUUGGUGCUGGCUGGGCCUGGCCCAAUCCAGCAGACCUGCAGCCAUUUCCCAGGAGCAGGAACCAGCUGGAGGCAGGUCAGGACAAGCCCCUGGCCCUGGGUUUGCCCCAGGACACGUCACAGCCCUCCCUGCCCAGGGCUGCCCCUGGACUGACUGUGCCCCACAGGGCUGGCUCUGGUGAAGCCCACUGAGCCCUCCUGCUCUGCUGCUUGUUGGGAGGUUCCAGGAACAAGGAGUCUGGUCAGCACUGGGGUGACAGAUUGCAAAACUCACCCGCUGACUUCCUGCUUGGCCACAUCCAUCCUCUCCAUGAGCUGCUCCUGCACAUGUCGCAACCCUGGGCCAGCUCCUUGAGACAGUGGGCAAGGGCACCCAGCUCCCCAGGCACGGCUGAGCCCCCCUGGCUGCCCACAACACCUGGGCACGGAGCAGCAGCCCCACAGGAGCUGGGCUGAGGGGCUGCCCCGUGCCCAGGCCUGCCCAGCUCAGGGCUGCAUGCACUGCUCAAUACAGG